rnacentral:rRNA from 1 species
UACGUAGGUGGCAAGCGUUAUCCGGAAUUACUGGGCGUAAAGGGUGCGUAGGCGGUCUUUCAAGCCAGAAGUGAAAGGCUACGGCUCAACCGUAGUAAGCUCUUGAAACUGUAAGACUUGAGUGCAGGAGAGGAGAGUGGAAUUCCUAGUGUAGCGGUGAAAUGCGUAGAUAUUAGGAGGAACACCAGUUGCGAAGGCGGCUCUCUGGACUGUAACUGACACUGAGGCACGAAAGCGUGGGGAGCAAACAGGAUUAGAUACCCCGGUAGUCCCU